rnacentral:rRNA from 1 species
ACUCCUACGGGAGGCAGCAGUGGGGAAUAUUGCGCAAUGGGCGACAGCCUGACGCAGCGACGCCGCGUGGGGGAUGAAGGUCUUCGGAUUGUAAACCCCUUUCGGGAGGGAAGAUGGGACGGGCAACCGUUCGGACGGUACCUCCAGAAGCAGCCACGGCUAACUUCGUGCCAGCAGCCGCGGUAAU